UGGUUUUAGUAAAAGUGAACCAAAUACACGAUGACGACCUUAACCACCUGCUACAAUUAUUGAAACCGCCGUACAGUUCCGAUGGGGGAAGGAGUCUGCGGCGUCUCUCGAAACGAGACCGCCUCACUUAAGCGUUACCAACAGCAAGACAUGACGAUGUGCGCCACAGGGGAUCAGAUAGCCGACGUACGCGUAAAAACUCCACUUUUCGUACUCCAUCUCCUCCACUCCCCACGGACGGGGUGCUAUUAGCUUCUCAUCGAUGCACUACGCCACCAAGAGCAGCAACGUUGUUGCUGAUGGGAGACCGUUAAAUGAGCUCAAGACAUUUUAUCUGCUGCGUUUGCCCCCAGCUCAGUAUAAAUAACACUACCUACAAACCUUGCUAAGUAGAUCGUUUUAUUUAUUUAUUCGCAUGACGACAUAAGCAUACAGAUUUCAUGUAAAAUUUAGACUGUUUAGAGAUAUCUUCACGAGUGAAGGUCUAUCCCACGUGCGAAAUGAUUUCUAUUUGUGCAGUAAAAAAAACACGCUAAUUAACACUGUAACUCAGUGUUGUAAGUGCACACUCUUAAUUUGAAUUUAUUCACCGCAAGCUUUCAGACUUGUUCUUGUUCGAUCUUGUGUGCCUAGUUACUAUGUAAAAUAAAGCAGAUAUUAUAUAUAUAUAUAUAUAUAUAUAUAUAUAUUUUCAAUAAAAAAUCAGCUAGUUUAGAAAAAGUUGAACACCAGAUACAAUGGCUGUAUGAUGCGCCCACCGUAAAGAAUAAUGCGUUUCAUUCGGACGACCUUGCUCGAAUGAAGAGGCCCCACAGGCAUCGUAUGGUUCUUCUACGCAGAACUUAGGUUAGACUUCUCCGGCUGUUUGACAGAGACAGAACGCCGCCGCUGCUGCUACAACUCAGAGGUGAUUCUGCUUACUCCUGCCCGUCUCUUUUUACUUUCCGUCAAUGCCUCGCAUCGUCGCGAACACCACACGACAGCCAGGUCAGCAUGCGUUCGUACUCUAUGCUUUUAUCGACAAUCUGUGCAAGCGCCCGUCACCUAGUCUUCAUCGAUUAGCGUGCUAGUGACCAGCCUCUCAAAUGAUAUGAAAUCAAAAUUACCUUUUUUACAGAACCGUUAUAGAUUAUUGGUAUUAAUAAUAGUGGCCGGUAAAGUGUUAGUUCAUUGGCUAAGUCGGUUAGAAGAGGAGAUUCGGAGAAUCACAGCCGGUCGCUUGUGACUUGCGUCGAAGAACCCUCGAUGAAGGCAAAUUUCGGUGCUCUGCCGAAAAAAAGAUGCUCACGACAUGGGAGGCGCCUUGACGGAUACGCAUAGAUAUAUAUAUAUAUACGUACGUACGUACGUACGUACGGAGGCAAACAAAAACCCACACACACACAGACUCACACUUCUGCACAUCGCGUUUCGAUAAAGAAACACGUAAAAACGGACCGCAGCGUCAACCAUAGCACAAAGCAAAACAAGUGCCCGGUGCCAUCCGUGUAUCAGUCAGUAUAUCCGCAACGUGCUAUGCUGUGACGCCAUGACGUAACAUUGUGGUAUAGUGGUGUCGUACGACGGGGCGCGUUUUGGUACAUCAAGGUCCGAAACCUCCUUCUGUAUGGACCGUCUCGUUGGGUUCACCUUUAUGCGAUGCCAAUGAGAUGCCCUACGAAAGCUAACGAGGAAGCCCAGAAGGGAGCCAAAACGGGAACUAUGAAGGAUCAUACCGGCGAUACACGAGGCACUAUAUAGGCUCGUGGUAGUGUCGCGAUGCUUGGCUUGUGCUACUUGCUGUACUCUGUUAGCGUGCGCAGUAGAAGCUUGAAGAGGGGCACCGCGCCUUCGAAGUGGGAGGAGAGGGUGGGGCCGGGGAGGAGGAAGAGAGGACGAGGAGGAGAAAGAAAAAGUAGGUCUGAUCGGAUCGACUGCGAACGAUCGAGGCCAAAUGCGCGCGUGUGCCAACGAACGUUUUAGGGCUUUAUUUCAGGCCCCUGUGCAGUCUCCGGCUCGCUGUAAAUAUCCUAUCUAGAAUAACACUGAAGUAUCAAGACACGAGUAGCACUGAAAGCACUUAAAAUUAGUAUGGCCGACAUAACAAAACGGACAGAUACGAAAAGAUCAGGUGAGCCACAGGCCUUGCCUUUGUGUUUAACGCAGCGCAGGGCAUAAACAUAAACCGUUACCAUCGAGAGCAGCCUAGUACCUUAUACUAUGAUCAGUCUCACCUCUGAACUACAAUUCAGCGUAAUUAUAAACCAAAAAAUCAGUCCUGUUGCUUUGUCGGGUCAGUGAAGUGAGUUCUGCACUAGAUUGAGCAUUGUUUAAAGUCCAGCUUCAGGAUUAAUCUAAAGCGAUGUGUCAUAAUUACUAUUAUUCGGCAAAAUUGUAAAUGCGAGAAAUGACUAUUUAAACGUUUAGGUUGGCGACAAUUUUCAAGCACUAAAUAUCCCAUAAAUUUGUUUCCAACAAUCUAAUGAAAGAUGAGCCAAAACAGUUUGUUUAUCAUAAAGCUGCGAUCCAAAUGAGCACGUCACGAAAACGGGAAAUAUUUGAAGUGUGAUGUUCUACCGAAGUUGUAGAAAAUGAGCCGUUAAGAUAGAGAGUGAGCCUGAUUCCAUUAUAUUAGCGAGGUUUCAACUUUGCUUUGUGUUAAUCUUACAUCAUAUUGAAAGAAUGAGCCGUAAAUAGCUGUUGUUCGUAUCAGUAGAAAAUAAAAAUAUGAUAAUUAAUUAAUGUUGUCGUUUAAAAAAAAAAUACACUUCUUGUAUUGCUUUACGGUAAAGUUUUCGAAUUUAUUCUAUUGUGCUAGCUACUAGCUAAGAAUCUACACUUCCUGCGAUGUUGAAGCAAAGAAGGCGUUGUCAUGACGUAACCCCAGUGUAACCUUCGUUCCAACAGCGUCUUGUCUAAACUAGAAUUUCCUUCAGUAAUAGCAAGCAAUUGGACCAAGGUAGCAUCUCAUCGCUUUUUCUCUGUACGAUUCUCAAAUCCCGCGGGUCUCUUGGACCAGACGUGUCGCCUGCGCGCAUCAUAGCCUCUAGUACCCAUUGCUUACUAUAAAUGUCGUUUUCUUCGAUUCGGGAGUUUGAGUGUGUUGCUAAUAUUGCUGCUGCUGGAUCAUCCAUCGCAGCAGCAGUGGCGGCUGUAGCAGGAUCGGCCGUCCUGACUGGCUCCAGUUCAACGCCGUGUGAAUGGGCCACGAUUCCGGUCGUCGAGUCGAAGCGGGUCGGGGUACUCUCUCUGUUGUUGAGGAAGUCACCACCCCACCAAACUACAUAGUAGAGAGGCAGGCGAUCCCGGCGACUUCUGCAGCAAACGCCGGUUGACUACCGACGACGACAGGCUACGCCGAUGACAGACACCAACGAUACUCGCCUGUUUGCUUGCUUUCGUAGGCUCUAUGUCUGCCAGGCCGGCAGGCGUCCGUUCACAUUCACAAGAAGCAGACGAAGCAGCAAUAAUAGCAGGAGCGCAAGGAAAAAGAAGAGAAAGACGAAAAAAAGAUGAAAGUAGCUGCAGAAGGAAAGAACAAGUGAAGAAAAAAUGAGGAAGGGGAGAAGGAGAACAGGACGACGACGAAGCAACCAAAGCCAGAUCUAUAAUGGCAGAAGCAUUCGCGACAGCUAGAAGACGACAAAGAUAACGACGACACCAACAACGACAACGACAACCGCAGCAACAACAAGCUCAGCGACGGCAGCAGAAGAAAGGAAGCAAAUGUGCGCCCCCACAGGAAGUUGAACUGCCGGCGAGGAAGCAUCAGGCAGUAGCAUGAACAACAACAAAACUAAAUCUUCUACUCGAUAACCCCGAUAUCUAUCUGCUCGUUCCACUCAUAAGGAUUACCUAGUACGCGGGUAGAACUCUGCUGCCGGCCAGCGACGGCGGCGAAGGCGACAGCAUGAGCAGGAUCAGUCUUCCUAUUGCUUAUACCACUGGCCUUACUAUUCUCUUCUAGACUAUAACUACGAUCAGUACUGCCAAGCUGUACCCGUACGCACAUAUGUGCCUGUACGCUUGAAAGAGCUGGAAGGAAUCAUAUUGGAAAUCUAUCGUUUGUCGACAGAAAAGGUUCUUUCUAAGGGCCUUUGAAAAGCGUCGAGGUUAAGAAGAAGCCUAGACGCGGAAAGUGAGGAAAUCUUGAAUCGAGAAUUCAUUGAACAAAUUGUAUCGUUGAGAGGACUAGUACCGCAGAUACACAGCUUUUUCGUGUUUUAUUUGAACGCGUCUCGUUUUCGCCUAUUCGAACUAAUAGACAUUCACACUUUAAGUUUAUCGUGACCACAAAUAAUGGCUCUGCUCCAAUCCUUACUAAUACAUCAUGUUUCGCGCUGCUUUUGACCUCACGUCUACGAGGCCAUUCCCGUUAUUCGACCCAAUAGGGUACUGUCGGUAUUUAUUUGACGGAUAUAGAUCAUAAAAUAUAAUUAGCCAAGAAGGGAACACGGACUGAAGUGCAGACAAGCAAAAAGUGUUUCGAGUUUUCUAGUACUACAAGAGUACUAUUGGUUGCUUCAGAUAAUCCAAAGCUGAUCGCAUAACCUCACUCAUUUUAGAUGCUUUUUGGCAACAAUUUGUUGUGACAUCAUGGCUUACGCCUCUACCUCGUAUGUAAGUCGUAAUAGUGCAACGGUAAAUUAUUACCUAUCUGCUUAUCAGGUGGCUGGGACUUAUCAGCCUGUGGGCUGAUAUCGAGUUAGCCAUGUGUGCAACUGGCUUCUAAAUGCGAUACAAUAGACUGCAGCCUGAAAAUAAAACCCCUUUCAUUCUAUCUCCGUUGACUUGUUAUUAUUUACUUGUUAGUUCAGCUGUCGGUGGCUAGUUAACAGACGUUCCCAGUUUAGCGUCUAAAUUUGGUUCGUAUCAUGAAAAUAUGGGAAUGUUCUAGGUCAAAACAUAACAUCCUCUCCAAAAAGAACUAGCAUGUCUGGAUCUUUGCACGUUACCUACGAUCCGUAGUAACGUAGGGUAGAAUCCACAACGAACUGGGAAACGUCAGUCACUGUGAUAAACAGCUUAAGCUUUAAUAAAUACUAGCAGCUUCUACUACUGAACGGCUGGCUUAAUCAAACAAUUGAAUUCAUAAAUGUAGAAAGACGAAAUAUUCACUGUUUUCCUAUACAAGCAAACAUCUAACAAGGCAUUAUAGCGCAAGACAAACAUAAACGAACUUGUAGUCUCGACUGUGGACACUUUUGCUACCUUUGUCUAAGUAGAUUCUAUUAUGUUUCUGUUUGGCAUAAUCCGACCGAGACUAAGAGCCCAGCCACCUGUUAUUGAAUGGUCGUCAAGCGAGCGUUGCCAGGGAUAACGACGCCGGAACGAAUAGCAAGGAUGCGACGCAGUCACAAUAUCGAGAAAUGGACAAUAAAAACCAUUCCACCACUUUACCUAAACUGUAUAUUUAAGCAGCAUAUAAGCCUCCGAACUGAAAAGAUUUUACACUCGUUCCGGACGUACACUCGUCCUAAUUAUGCUGUACGUGUUACAACCAGGACACGGCAGAUCGACAGUAGAAACAAGUAGCAUCCUACAACAGAGUUCUCAGUUGUCAUAAUGGCCAUAUUCUGAAAUCUAGAAGAACAUGCAUGCACGGCCAGAUGAAGCGGGCAUAAUAACGAGCGGAAAAAGUCGUCCAAUUCCUGCUGGUGACAGCCACGAGACAUUGUGCACUUCAAAAUUUUAGGCCAGCAAAGGGUUACAGGACUGAAAUGAACAAAGCGUAAUUCCUUCCUCAGACGAACGAAUGUCUCUCGAAUCUAUGAUCAUAUGUACACAGAGGCACAAAUGUAGCCCUAUUGUUACAUAUGUGACUUUUGACGCUUAUUCACGUUGUAUACAUACAUAGUCUUGCUCUCCAUACUUCAUAUGUACAUCUGCGCAUUCGCGUUUCCCUUUUUUUAGUUUUUGUUGUUGGUCCCUAUCUCCUACCGCUGCUGCUGCUGCUGUUGUUACGAGUCUUCCUUAUCGUCUUCUAGUUCCUCUUUUUCCUUUGGGUCUUUCUGUCUUUGCUCAUCUGCUUGGCGGCUGGUGUCCGCCUGCGACAUGAACGACCACGACGGCGACCUGCGCCUGCCGCGGUGUUUUGCGGUCCUGAUGCUGUGGUGAUGUGCCGCGGCUAGCCGGCGUUCACCGCUAUUCUCCACCCAAGGCGCAAAGGCUUAACUCUACCAGCGCCAUCAUCAUGAUUACCAGCAGCAGUAGCGGUGCUAGCAGAAUCAACUCCAGAAAGAGCACAUCUCGUGCGCGCCCUUCUCGUUUCUUUGCCAGUCAGGCCUAGCCCAUCUCUCUCCGUCUGUUGUGCGCGCAGUCGCCCGCUCUCUUUCUAUUUGUUUCGCUAUGUCUAUGUAUUUGAUCCUGCUUGUGAAGCAGCAGCAGCAUGAACUUCGUCUUCCUUUCAAGUUCCUCGUUGGGUUGUUUUCUUCGAUUUCGUUCCCCGUUUCUUUCGUUCCCACGCUCCUUCUUCCGGACCGUGCUCGUUUCUUGGGCAGUCGCUACCAUCAUCACCAGCAGCAUCGUCAUCGCCAGUCGCACCAGGCCAGGCUGCAGCCAGGAGCCGGGCAUCAGCGGGAGCGGCAGUUCUUAGCGGACUACCGCCAAGCUAUCGGCCAGCCGGCGAACAACCAGCCCGCCAGCCCGCCAGACUGGCUGGCUCACAGCGAAACAGACUAGAACCGACUGCAUCAGCCGCAGCACCAGUAAACUAGUGGUAGUAUUCGUUGUCAUCGUAGUACUAUCCUCUCUCUGCCUUUUUUAGCACGCACACAUGGACACACACACAGUAAGUUGCCUUACACGCAGUUUACUACAACUACUACUAGAGCCUGUACAGUUUAUUCACUCUGCCAUCCUAGUUUGGAUCCACCCGCAGCAUCUGCUCUUGCUUAGCUCCCUCGUUCUGUUUUUGGGUCCGAACUCCGGACACAUGGUUCGUCCUGCAUACCGUCAACAGCGGCGGCGGGAGCAGCAGCAUCAGAACUAUGAAUCUGGGGUCCAGGGCCACUCGUUCGGCCUUUGACUACUACGACAUAGCCUCCUGCUUCCGCAGAGGUACUCGUACACCCGUGCUGCCGUCUCUGCCGUGCCAUACCGAAUAGACUCUGCUAC